CUUUGCCUGGACUGGGGUCUUCCUGAAGCUUUAGCCAGAGACUGUGUUUCCAUUCUUGGGGACCUUUUCUCUAACUCACUGCUCCAUUUGGCCAUGUGCUCUUACUUACCUCCCAUCAGAAGGCAGCCAAGCACAUAGCACCUUUCAGAUACAAUGAGGUAGGUGGAGACGGGGGCAGUACCUCGCCUGACCAUGAAUUUGGGUAAUGAGACUCCAUCCUUAAGGCUGAACCACGGCAGCGCCCCUCAGCUCUGGCUUUGGCUUUUCCACUCAUGACUCCCGUGACCUAACAUUUGCCCACAGUGUAAAUCUUGCUCUGUCCCUGCUCUGUUCUCUUGGCUUCUGACUCUGGACCCCACCUCCUACUUGGCUCUUACGGCCUGGAUCCACAUGGCUGCCCUAUGUCUUCCUCGGACUAAGUGUUAUUAUCUCAGUGCUCAGAGCACAGGGUAGUCUCUUACGGUGUCCCUCACAGGGUCUGGGCUGCCCACACGUAUCCUGAGAUAUGCCCUGCCUAUCAGAAGGCAGAUACACAUUCUCUGGUAGAACCAGGGGCUCACUUUAGGAGUCAGUCUUCUCACAGUGCCUUGUCUCUACUAAUGUACCAGAGAAGAACAAAUCUGACUCCAUAUUGGAGCUAUUCCUCCAGCUCUAACCCUUGCACUCUGUUGCCUGUGCUUAGGCAUGCUGGCUCAACACUUUGUGAAAAAGAAUGCUGCCAGUAGUCCAAAAUGUUCAUGAUAUCCCAUUCUCAAGACUGUGACCUUUAAAAGUAUAACACUUCUCCAUUCAUAUAGAGAUAAAAAGUUGCAUAACAGAGCAUAACAUUUGUCUUGCUGGAGGUUUAUCGGAACAUUGUGACCAGAUCUAUGUAGAAGGCUGUAAGAACAAAGGAUUCCAACAUCUAGAUGUUUGCAACAACCAGUCAAAUCUGUUCCUGUUUUAGUAUAAAAGAAGCCUGAACUCUAACUUGGGUAAGAUGGUUGCUGGCUUUCUGCAUAAAGUUGGUAUUUUUUGACCCAACAA
rnacentral:lncRNA from 1 species